GACGUAGGGCGCGAGCGUUGUCCGGAUUUAUUGGGCGUAAAGAGCUCGUAGGCGGCUUGUCGCGUCGAAUGUGAAAACUCGGGGCUCAACUCCGAGCUUGCAUUCGAUACGGGCAGGCUAGAGUUCGGUAGGGGAGAUCGGAAUUCCUGGUGUAGCGGUGGAAUGCGCAGAUAUCAGGAGGAACACCGGUGGCGAAGGCGGAUCUCUGGGCCAUAACUGACGCUGAGGAGCGAAAGCGUGGGGAGCGAACAGG
rnacentral:rRNA from 1 species